rnacentral:rRNA from 1 species
GAUGAACGCUAGCUACGAGGCUUAACACAUGCAAGUCGAGGGGCAGCAGUGAACUUAGACGUUGCUAAGUUUGAUGGCGACCGGCGCACGGGUGAGUAACACGUAUCCAACCUGCCGAUGACUCGGGGAUAGCCUUUCGAAAGAAAGAUUAAUACCCGAUGGCAUAGUUCUUCCGCAUGGUAGAACUAUUAAAGAAUUUCGGUCAUCGAUGGGGAUGCGUUCCAUUAGGUUGUUGGCGGGGUAACGGCCCACCAAGCCUUCGAUGGAUAGGGGUUCUGAGAGGAAGGUCCCCCACAUUGGAACUGAGACACGGUCCAA